CUCAUGUUCUUCCCUGGCCGAAACAGGGGACCGACCAGUCUCCUCCCUUUGACUUACCAUCCAGACUGCAGCUGGCACGGCGAAGGCCGGCGGCAGGGGACAAUCCUCUCGAGUUCGAAGAGGCCAAGGCCGGCGGUCGGUAGUGAUCGCCGGCAUCGAAAAAUCAAAGAGAAGAAGAGACCAAACAGGAGGGUCCCUUCUCCGACGAAAUCC
rnacentral:lncRNA from 1 species